rnacentral:rRNA from 1 species
CCUUGACUCUGGGAUAAGCCUGGGAAACUGGGUCUAAUACUGGAUACUACCUCUUGCCGCAUGGUGGGUGGUGGAAAGGGUUUUACUGGUUUUGGAUGGGCUCACGGCCUAUCAGCUUGUUGGUGGGGUAAUGGCUCACCAAGGCGACGACGGGUAGCCGGCCUGAGAGGGUGACCGGCCACACUGGGACUGAGACACGGCCCAGACUCCUACGGGAGGCAGCAGUGGGGAAUAUUGCACAAUGGGCGGAAGCCUGAUGCAGCGACGCCGCGUGAGGGAUGACGGCCUUCGGGUUGUAAACCUCUUUCAGUAGGGAAGAAGCGAGAGUGACGGUACCUGCAGAAGAAGCGCCGGCUAACUACGUGCCAGCAGCCGCGGUAAUACGUAGGGCGCAAGCGUUGUCCGGAAUUAUUGGGCGUAAAGAGCUCGUAGGCGGUUUGUCGCGUCUGCUGUGAAAGCCCGGGGCUCAACCCCGGGUCUGCAGUGGGUACGGGCAGACUAGAGUGCAGUAGGGGAGACUGGAAUUCCUGGUGUAGCGGUGAAAUGCGCAGAUAUCAGGAGGAACACCGAUGGCGAAGGCAGGUCUCUGGGCUGUUACUGACGCUGAGGAGCGAAAGCAUGGGGAGCGAACAGGAUUAGAUACCCUGGUAGUCCAUGCCGUAAACGUUGGGCACUAGGUGUGGGGGACAUUCCACGUUUUCCGCGCCGUAGCUAACGCAUUAAGUGCCCCGCCUGGGGAGUACGGCCGCAAGGCUAAAACUCAAAGGAAUUGACGGGGGCCCGCACAAGCGGCGGAGCAUGCGGAUUAAUUCGAUGCAACGCGAAGAACCUUACCAAGGCUUGACAUUCACCGGACCGCCCCAGAGAUGGGGUUUCCCUUCGGGGCUGGUGGACAGGUGGUGCAUGGUUGUCGUCAGCUCGUGUCGUGAGAUGUUGGGUUAAGUCCCGCAACGAGCGCAACCCUCGUUCUAUGUUGCCAGCACGUGAUGGUGGGGACUCAUAGGAGACUGCCGGGGUCAACUCGGAGGAAGGUGGGGAUGACGUCAAAUCAUCAUGCCCCUUAUGUCUUGGGCUUCACGCAUGCUACAAUGGCCGGUACAAAGGGUUGCGAUACUGUGAGGUGGAGCUAAUCCCAAAAAGCCGGUCUCAGUUCGGAUUGAGGUCUGCAACUCGACCUCAUGAAGUCGGAGUCGCUAGUAAUCGCAGAUCAGCAACGCUGCGGUGAAUACGUUCCCGGGCCUUGUACACACCGCCCGUCAAGUCACGAAAGUUGGUAACACCCGAAGCCGGUGGCCUAACCCCUUGUGGGAGGGAGCCGUCGAAGGUGGGACUGGCGAUUGGGACUAAGUCGUAACAAGGUAGCCGUACCGGAAGGUGCGGCUGGAUCACCUCCUUU